CACUCAGAAGGAAACGGACGGAGCUGAUAAGCCGCUUGUCAGAUUCAGUUUGCCAGGGCCUGCAGUUUUAGCGUAGGUCUAGGUGAAUGCAUUUCUGGCGAGUGCGCGCUGCGACCGAUUUCUGCGCUGGCUAAGGAUUGUUGAUUGCCGGCCGGGCCUUCGGGUCCGGUGUCCCGUCUUCGAUUCCAGGCCGGGUCGCGGAGAUCGUGCGACUGCCGUGCUAGAUCUCAGACAGCUUUCUGGGGCGCUGGCUAAACUAUUGGGUCCUACAUGUAGAGCUCGAUGAAUUCCAGUGUCUAUCUGAAGAGCAGAGUCUGACUAGUGCGAAUGGUCUGCGGCGUCUGUGUCAGCCACCCGUCCGACCCGUCUUGAAACACGGACCAAGGAGUCUAACAUGUGCGCAAGUCAUUGAGUGGCAAACUCAAAGGCGCAAUGAAAGUGAAGGCUAGUUCGGCUGGCCUAGGUGAGAUCCUUGGGCUUCGGUCUGAGGCGCAUCACCGCCCCGUCUUGAGAGUAAUGUCUCUAGGGCGGAGGAAGAGCGUACAUGUUGGGACCCGAAAGAUGGUGAACUAUGCUUGAGCAGGACGAAGCCAGAGGAAACUCUGGUGGAGGUCCGUAGCGGUUCUGACGUGCAAAUCG
rnacentral:rRNA from 1 species